UCUCCGUUGGUGAACCAGCGGAGGGAUCAUUACCGAGUUUCCGAACUCCCAAACCCCUGUGAACGCACCUAUCGUUGCUUCGGCGGGACCGCCCCGGCGCCCUCGUGGCCCGGACCCAGGCGCCCGCCGGAGGACCCAAACUCUUGUUUUAACAUCAUUGUAUCUUCUGAGUGGCACAAGCAAAUAAAUCAAAACUUUCAACAACGGAUCUCUUGGUUCUG
rnacentral:misc_RNA from 1 species